GACGAACGCUGGCGGCGUGCUUAACACAUGCAAGUCGACGACGCUACUGAGUAGCAAUAUUUAGUAGUGGAGUGGCGCAAGGGUGAGUAAUGUAUACGUAACCAACCCAUCGGAGACGGAUAACAUUUCGAAAGGGAUGCUAAGACGGCAUGAAGCCACGAUUUCGCAUGAGAUUGUGGUUAAAGAACCGGUAACAGGUUGCCGAUGGCUGGGCGUAUAUCCGAUUAGCUAGUUGGUAGUGUAACGGACUACCAAGGCGACGAUCGGUAGCUGGUCUGAGAGGAUGAUCAGCCACACUGGCACUGAGACACGGGCCAGACUCCUACGGGAGGCAGCAGUGGGGAAUAUUGGGCAAUGCCCGCAAGGGUGACCCAGCAACGCCGCGUGGAGGAUGAAGGCCGUAAGGUUGUAAACUCCUGUUAGAGGAGAAGAAUAGUACCGAUUGGAUCGGUAUUUGACUGUACCCUCAGAGAAAGCCCCGGCUAACUACGUG
rnacentral:rRNA from 1 species